rnacentral:rRNA from 1 species
CAGUAGCCACGGUAAUACGAAGGGGGCUAGCGUUGUUCGGAUUUACUGGGCGUAAAGGGCGCGUAGGCGGACUGAUAAGUCAGGGGUGAAAUCCCAAGGCUCAACCUUGGAACUGCCUUUGAUACUGUUUGUCUUGAGUUCGAGAGAGGUAAGUGGAACUGCGAGUGUAGAGGUGAGAUUCGUAGAUAUUCGCAAGAACACCAGUGGCGAAGGCAGCCCCCUGGGCCAAUACUGACGCUCAUGCACGAAUGCGUGGGGAGCAAACAGGAUUAGAUACCCCCGUAGUCCCUGUCUCUUAUAC